rnacentral:tRNA from 1 species
GUGGCUGUGGUGAAGUGGUUAACACGCCGGAUUGUGGCUCCGGUAUGCGUGGGUUCGAGCCCCAUCAGUCACCCCA